UACGAAGGGGGCUAGCGUUGUUCGGAUUUACUGGGCGUAAAGCGCACGUAGGCGGAUCGUUAAGUCGGGGGUGAAAUCCUGGAGCUCAACUCCAGAACUGCCUUCGAUACUGGCGAUCUUGAGUUCGGGAGAGGUGAGUGGAACUGCGAGUGUAGAGGUGAAAUUCGUAGAUAUUCGCAAGAACACCAGUGGCGAAGGCGGAUCACUGGCCCGAUACUGACGCUGAGGCACGAAAGCGUGGGGAGCAAACAGG
rnacentral:rRNA from 1 species